UACGGAGGAUCCAAGCGUUAUCCGGAUUUAUUGGGUUUAAAGGGUGCGUAGGCGGAUUGAUAAGUUAGAGGUGAAAUGUCCGAGCUCAACUCGGGAACUGCCUCUAAUACUGUUGAUCUAGAGAGUAGAUGCGGUAGGCGGAAUGUAUGGUGUAGCGGUGAAAUGCUUAGAGAUCAUACAGAACACCGAUUGCGAAGGCAGCUUACCAAUCUAUAUCUGACGUUGAGGCACGAAAGCGUGGGGGGCAAACAGG
rnacentral:rRNA from 1 species